rnacentral:rRNA from 1 species
UACGUAUGGUGCAAGCGUUAUCCGGAUUUACUGGGUGUAAAGGGCGUGUAGGCGGGAUGGUAAGUCAGAUGUGAAAACUAUGGGCUCAACCCAUAGCCUGCAUUUGAAACUAUCGUUCUUGAGUACUGGAGAGGUUGACGGAAUUCCUAGUGUAGCGGUGAAAUGCGUAGAUAUUAGGAGGAACACCAGUGGCGAAGGCGGUCAACUGGACAGCAACUGACGCUGAGGCGCGAAAGCGUGGGGAGCAAACAGG